CCUACGGGAGGCAGCAGUGAGGAAUAUUGGUCAAUGGGCGCGAGCCUGAACCAGCCAAGUAGCGUGAAGGAUGACUGCCCUACGGGUUGUAAACUUCUUUUAUAAAGGAAUAAAGUGAGGCACGUGUGCCUUUUUGUAUGUACUUUAUGAAUAAGGAUCGGCUAACUCCGUGCCAGCAGCCGCGGUAAUACGGAGGAUCCGAGCGUUACCCGGAUUUAUUGGGUGUAAAGGGAGCGUAGAUGGGUUGUUAAGUCAGUUGUGAAAGUUUGCGGCUCAACCGUAAAAUUGCAAUUGAUACUGGCAGACUUGAGUACAGGUGAGGUAGGCGGAAUUCGAGGGGUAGCAGUGAAAUGCGUAGAUAUCACGAAGAACUCCGAUUGCGAAGGCAGCUUACUAAACUGCCACUGACAUUGAUGCUCGAAAGUGUGGGUAUCAAACAGGAUUAGAUACCCCGGUAGUC
rnacentral:rRNA from 1 species